ACUACGUCAUCAUAUGGCGCUUCAUAUGUAAUUUGGCGAGGCGGAAUCCCAGCUACUGUAUUCAAAUUAGAUGCCCUAUAUUCAUUUAUUACACCGACCUGAAGGGGAGUGUUCUGUACACAGAUACACUGUAGUGAUGGAGGCCCACAAUUUGUCCUGCAUCAUUUGUUUGGAUCCCUUCACCGUCCCAGUCACCGUCCCAUGCGGUCACACCUUCUGUCGAGACUGCAUCACGGCUCACUCGGACACGAAGUCCAUGUCCGAUAUGCCCUGUCUGCAAUGAGAAAUUCACCACCAGGCUUGUCCUGAAUCGCAACGUGUCCCUGUCCUCUCUGGCUGAGGCCUCAGCGAAUAGUGCCGGUGCAUCCGGUAGAGACACUGUACCAGUUAUGAGGGGCGACAUGGCCAAAGCCAUGACCCUGAUUCUGUGACCGACACAAGAAGCCCCUGGUGUACUACUGCCGGACAGACAACGUGUGUGUGCUGUGAGUGUGCCAUCUCUGAGUGUAAGAACCACGAGGAGGUGCUGGUGGAGUGUGAGAGGGAGAACCGAGAGUCACUACUGUGGAGGAAGAGUGUGGAGGUGGGAAUAUGUAUAGAGGAGACUGAAAGGAGCUGGGCUGACAGAGAAUAUCGCCAAAGCCAAGACCGCUGCACUCUGACCCUCGUACGGCCAACAGUCACCUGCUACUCUCCCAGGAGGAGCGCUGCGCCGUGUCCCCGCCCACGAGUACUCGCCAAGACUACACCUGGCAUGUGCUCUGCUUCCAGGGCUUCAAACACAGAAAGCAGUACUGGGAGCUGGAGGUGUCCAAGCCAUGGGCCUACCUGGGGGUCAGAGUGUGAAGGCCAUGGUAGCCCAGAGCAGGGGGUCAGAGUGUGAAGGCCAUGGUAGCCCAGAGCAGGGCUAUUCAACUGACAACAGGGGGGGGAGCAGUGUAACUGGCUUCCAGGUCCAGAGUUGAGUUUGGGGACUAUAGAAUUGCACCUGUGUCUUUUGAGACUUCCCAACAUAACCUUUGACCCCUGCGUCUCUCCCCCAGUUCACCUAUGAGGGCAUCCCCAGGAAGGAAAAGGGAAAGAGUAGCAUGGUGGUAAUGAACGAUCUGUCCUGGAGCCUCCAGCUGGACGAGGAUCAGCUGAACGCCUGGAGACGGUGGCUGGUCAUUACAACCACAUUGUAAUGCUGCUGGAUUACGAGGCGGGAACGCUGACGUACUACGAAGACAGGCAGAUGAGGCUGCAUUCCUUCUACUGUGCCUUCACUCAGGAGCUGUUCCCCUGCCUGUCGGAUAGGGGAGGGCGUCAGCGUCACCCUCUGCUCGCCAUGACGACAACACGAAAGGGAACAACUGAGCUAACAAUGUCAUAAGGGACUAGUCUUGCAAAGCUGAUGAGUAUUGUGAUCUCACCUUACUGUACAGAUGUUUUUACAGUCCUGUUGUGGGACACAGACUUGAACGGGAGCGACUAGUAAGUACAUAUGUGACACGGGACUCUUCUGAAAUAUGGGAUCACUCAGGACAGUGGACUAGUCUUUGGGAUACUGUUGUGGAUUUGCAGGUUCUCAGAACCGUGAGCACAGUUAGGAACUGGAAAUGACUACUGUGCGGGAAACCGGUUUUCCAUAAGAGAAGGGAAAAGCACAUGUCUAGGGUCCCUAAAGGCUGAAGAAAUUUCACAGAAGUUCCUGUUGGAUUUGUAAUGGAGCUGACGUUAAAUGUUUUGCACUACUUUGUGUUGGAAGUUGGAACUGGACAAAUAUGGUAUUUAAAAUGUGGUCUUCCGAUUUAGACAGCUUGUCGUUUUGUUAAACAAGGCAAUGACUUGUUUGUGAAUAAAAUGAAUAAAAUGGACACACUUCACAUCACAA